GAUGAUGAAGCCCGCCAUCAACAGAUAAGUGAAGAGGGAACCCGAGGCUGAG
rnacentral:misc_RNA from 1 species